UUAUCAAACAUUAUCACAGAAUU
rnacentral:snRNA from 1 species